rnacentral:rRNA from 1 species
AGUGAACGCUGGCGGUAGGCCUAACACAUGCAAGUCGAACGGCAGCACAGUAAGAGCUUGCUCUUACGGGUGGCGAGUGGCGGACGGGUGAGGAAUACAUCGGAAUCUACUUUUUCAUGGGGGAUAACGUAGGGAAACUUACGCUAAUACCGCAUACGACCUACGGGUGAAAGCAGGGGAUCUUCGGACCUUGCGCGAUUGAAUGAGCCGAUGUCGGAUUAGCUAGUUGGCGGGGUAAAGGCCCACCAAGGCGACGAUCCGUAGCUGGUCUGAGAGGAUGAUCAGCCACACUGGAACUGAGACACGGUCCAGACUCCUACGGGAGGCAGCAGUGGGGAAUAUUGGACAAUGGGCGCAAGCCUGAUCCAGCCAUACCGCGUGGGUGAAGAAGGCCUUCGGGUUGUAAAGCCCUUUUGUUGGGAAAGAAAAGCAGCAGGUUAAUACCCCGCUGUUCUGACGGUACCCAAAGAAUAAGCACCGGUUAACUUCGUG